CUGCAGGGCUUUUUUUCCUGUUAGACUUCUGGCUAGAGUCCACUAAUCCUCUGGUACCUGAUCUGGCCAAAGCCUGACUAUAACCUGCUCCAG
rnacentral:pre_miRNA from 1 species